UACGAAGGGGGCUAGCGUUGCUCGGAAUCACUGGGCGUAAAGCGCACGUAGGCGGAUUGUUAAGUCAGGGGGUGAAAUCCCGAGGCUCAACCUCGGAACUGCCUUUGAUACUGCAAAUCUCGAGUCCGGAAGAGGUGAGUGGAAUUCCUAGUGUAGAGGUGAAAUUCGUAGAUAUUAGGAAGAACACCGGUGGCGAAGGCGGCCAUCUGGGACCGUUUCUGACGCUGAGGCGCGAAAGCGUGGGGGAGCAAACAGG
rnacentral:rRNA from 1 species